rnacentral:rRNA from 1 species
GGGGGGAGGGUUCGCGCGGAUCUUCAGAGAUUAGAGUUUGAUCCUGGCUCAGGACGAACGCUGGCGGCGUGCCUAACACAUGCAAGUCGAGCGGAGUCAGUAAGAGGAAGUUUUCGGAUGGAAUCUUAUUGAUUUAGCGGCGGACGGGUGAGUAACGCGUGAGCGACCAACCUUGCACAGGGGGAUAACGGACCGAAAGGUUCACUAAUACCGCAUGAGACCACGGUGUUGCAUGACACAGAGGUCAAAGGAGCAAUCCGGUGCAAGACGGGCUCGCGUCCGAUUAGGUAGUUGGAGGGGUAACGGCCCACCAAGCCUAUGAUCGGUAGCCGACCUGAGAGGGUGAUCGGCCACAUUGGAACUGAGAUACGGUCCAAACUCCUACGGGAGGCAGCAGUGGGGAAUAUUGGGCAAUGGGGGAAACCCUGACCCAGCAACGCCGCGUGAAGGAAGAAGGUUUUCGGAUUGUAAACUUCUGUCCUUGGUGAAGAGAAGAAGACGGUAGCCAAGGAGGAAGCCCCGGCUAACUACGUGCCAGCAGCCGCGGUAAUACGUAGGGGGCAAGCGUUGUCCGGAAUGAUUGGGCGUAAAGGGCGCGUAGGCGGCUCUGUAAGUCUGGAGUGAAAGUCCUCUUUUCAAGGGAGGAAUUGCUUUGGAAACUAUAGAGCUUGAGUGCAGGAGAGGUUAUCGGAAUUCCCGGUGUAGCGGUGAAAUGCGUAGAUAUCGGGAGGAACAUCGGUGGCGAAGGCGGGUAACUGGACUGCAACUGACGCUGAGGCGCGAAAGUGUGGGGAGCAAACAGGAUUAGAUACCCUGGUAGUCCACACGGUAAACGAUGAAUGCUAGGUGUAGGAGGUAUCGACCCCUUCUGUGCCGCAGUUAACACAAUAAGCAUUCCGCCUGGGGAGUACGGUCGCAAGAUUAAAACUCAAAGGAAUUGACGGGGGCCCGCACAAGCAGCGGAGCAUGUGGUUUAAUUCGACGCAACGCGAAGAACCUUACCAGGUCUUGACAUCCAGUUAAAGCUGUUGAAAGAUAGUGUCCCUUUCGGGGGAACUGAGACAGGUGGUGCAUGUUGUCGUCAGCUCGUGUCGUGAGAUGUUGGGUUAAA